GACGAACGCUGGCGGCGUGCUUAACACAUGCAAGUCGAACGGAAAGGCCCCUUUGGUGGUCCUCUAGUGGCGGCCGGGUGCGUAACACUUGCGUAACCUUCCCUUUACUUCUGGAUAACUUCAAGAAACUGGGGCUAAUACCGGUAAGGAAUCCUUUCUUCAUGGUGGGGGUUCGAAAGCUUCGGCGGGUUUGGAUGGGCUGGCGGCUUAUCAGCUUGUUGGUUGGGUAGUGGCUUACCGAGGCUUUGACGGGUAGCCGGCCUGAGAGGGCGACCGGCGACAUUGGGACUGAGAGAAGGCCGAGACGCGUAAGGGAGGCAGAAGUGGGGAAGAUUGAACAAGGGACGGAAGGCUGAUGCAGAAGGGCCGCGUGUGGGAAGACGGUCUUCGGGUGGAAAACCGCUUUCAGAAGGAGCGAAGCUUGUGGUGACGGUACCUGAAGAAGAAGCACCGGCUAACUACGUG
rnacentral:rRNA from 1 species